rnacentral:rRNA from 1 species
UACGGAGGGGGCUAGCGUUGUUCGGAAUUACUGGGCGUAAAGGGCGCGUAGGCGGCCUUCUAAGUCGAACGUGAAAUCCCCGGGCUCAACCCGGGAACUGCGUCCGAUACUGGAAGGCUUGAAUCCGGGAGAGGGAUGUGGAAUUCCAGGUGUAGCGGUGAAAUGCGUAGAUAUCUGGAGGAACACCGGUGGCGAAGGCGACAUCCUGGACCGGUAUUGACGCUGAGGCGCGAAAGCCAGGGGAGCGAACGGG